rnacentral:lncRNA from 1 species
CACAAACACACACACGUACAUGCACGUCGCUAUAUAAGUGCAAUAAUCUUGGACGCGACGUUAAACCCAAUUUCACCUAACCUCAUAAUGUAUUUACACACUCCAGCGACUCAUGAUUUAACAAUGGCAGAUCUUUUUGUUCCAAAGGGCAAUAACUCUCCUUUUGAAAUGAUAUAAGCGAAGGUCCAACCAGUCGCUUCCGGCCUGGUUUUCGGAUCUAUGCGCGCUGCGACAACUAGUAACCUUGGCCUAGAUCUUCAAAACGAUCGUAGCCCAGAAAUUAUCGUAAAGUUAUCGUAAGGAAAUCUUAGGCUAUGGUAGCCUAUUUUCAAAACUAUCGCAGCCCUGAGAUAUCUUAAGUUUGUCGUAAAUCUAAGAUAGCCCCACACCUGUCGUAAGUUUAUUUUAUCUUCAUCCAAGAUGGCGGCAUACUUUGCCAUAGAUAUUUUGCCAAAUACUCAGUCUGCUUUACGUUCAAACAUUGACAUUUCAAUUUGUUAAACUGUUUGAUUCAAAUUGACACUUUGAAAACACGAAGAACGCAUCAAUGAUUAAUGUUCUUAAUCGCGACAGCGAUCCACAUAACUGUGGAGUCGAUAGCUUAAAAUAUAUUUCUAUCCAAGUCCAUGCUGAAGAAGUUUGAAACAACGUACCAUUUUGAUAAUUUGGGAAGGAUAAAAAAGGAAGGUGUCGGCAGGUUAUAGUAAUGACCAUGACCUUAUUGAUAAUUAACUCAGGGGGAGCUAAUCUUCGCUCAUACUUUUGUUGAGAGUGGUUUCCCUUUGUAUUGGCCAAGGACGCCUUGCUCAAUGUUACAGUUUUCAUCAAGUCAAAACAUGUUGUAACGGAAAUUUACAGAACUGAUUAUCCUAGCAACGACCGGAACAGGACAGUACCUCGUUUCAUACGGGUGUUUUUGCAUCCGGGCCUUCUGGAAAGGUUGACUUAAGGCCGUACGUGCCUCACGAGCUUUAGUGAGCGUCUGGCUCCGAGGGCAAGCUUGCUGGGAUCUGUCUGUACACACACGUAUUUUCGGUAUGGUGAGGUAAUUGUAUUAGUUUUUGCCCAGUCACACCAUUUUAGUCUAGGUUAUCAUGUUUAUCAUAAUGAUAUAGCGUGUGUUUUACGGUGACAUUUUCUGCUAGAAUCUAUGUGCUAGUGUUAUUCUGAGAUUUUCCAAGUCUUUGAACCCGGUGGGUCAACCGAGUGAUGUGUCAGAUAUAUUUGAAGACUAUGAUUAUGAAAUUGUUUAACCCUCUCGCCCGACUGCCCGAUUUAUCGGGCAGCAUAAACCCUGUCCCAGUACCCGGCUGCCUGAAAAAUUGGGUGGCUACUGUCCAAGCCCCACACACGGCUGCCCGAUAAAUCGGGCGGGACGACCGUGUUUACAAAAUCGCUCUAUCUACUUCCUUUCUCGUGUGUAAUCUCGUUCUAAACAUGGAAACGAGAUCUUCAUGUAAUGACACGUCAUUCGAUGGAAUUUCCCAGUCUUUUUGGCGCGAAAAUCGCAAAUGUCACCUGUUUUCGCGACAGGUAUUUUUCUCGCUUGAAUCGUAAAUCUAGCGUAAUGGCGGCCAACUACGAUUCGGAUAGUGAUCAGAUGACUAACAACGACUCUAUUGGGAAUAAUAAUGUGUUUGAUUUGAAUAAUUUACGCGAAGGGGAGAGGGAAUUUCGCGAAUAUUUUCGUGAAGAUUUUGACGGUUUCGACGAGGUGUCCCCCCCCCCCCCCCACCAACUUUCAAAAAUAGAAGUGGCAGAGGGACCACAACGGUGGAGACAUGAGGGAUUUUGAAGAGGCGACCGGACUCAAGAAUAUAUAUUGACACGGUGAGUGAAGUAUCGUGCUAUUGAUUUUUUCCAACUGUUUUACAAUGAUUCUGUGUUUGAACAGAUUAACAGUGCAACGAAUGAGAAUGCAGCCUACACGUGAACGAGCGAUCACAACAACAACAAAGAUCAAUCUGUGAUAUCUUCUCUGUGAUGUCAUUCUUAUAGUAGCUGUGGUUUAAUGUUAAGAUGUGCAUGAAGAGAAUUUACCUGUAACACCUGGGAUAACCUGUGCCGUCC